rnacentral:lncRNA from 1 species
UACAGUUUAUCGAAUGGGGAUACAACACGAUAAUUAAAUUAUAUAAGCUUUUUGAAAGACAGUUAUAAAAAUAAAAGAAUCUCGUUGUAAGAAGGCCCAAGAGAAAGCCAAGGGACUCGAAGUGUUAUUAUUUCACAAUCAUCGUAAUUGAAAUGAAAACAAAUGUGACUUAUCGUAGCCAUAAAAGAAAACCAACAGGGAGUGUAAAUAGCAACCGUCAGAUGGGCUUAAAU